rnacentral:piRNA from 1 species
UAGGGAUGCAUGCCGUGUUUUGUUUCUCU